rnacentral:rRNA from 1 species
AACGAACGCUGGCGGCAGGCUUAACACAUGCAAGUCGAACGCUCGUAGCAAUACGGGAGUGGCGGACGGGUGAGUAACGCGUGGGAACGUGCCCUGAGGUACGGAAUGACUGCGGGAAACUGCAGCUAAUACCGUAUGAGCCCCGUGAGGGGGAAAGAUUUAUCGCCUUAGGAGCGGCCCGCGUCGGAUUAGCUAGUUGGUGGGGUAACGGCUUACCAAGGCUUCGAUCCGUAGCUGGUCUGAGAGGACGAUCAGCCACACUGGGACUGAGACACGGCCCAGACUCCUACGGGAGGCAGCAGUGGGGAAUCUUGCGCAAUGGGGGCAACCCUGACGCAGCCAUGCCGCGUGAAUGAUGAAGGCCUUAGGGUUGUAAAGUUCUUUUGCCCGUGACGAUGAUGACGGUAACGGGAGAAUAAGCUCCGGCUAACUUCGUG